CUCCUUGUAUCUCCCUAUAUAUUUUGAGUUAGGUUAAAUUGAGGUGAUAUUCGUGAUCUACGCAUUUUUUUCUUUAAGAUUAUGUCCUCCUUUUUCAUUUAUGAUAUGGUGAUGAAUGAACCAGUCCGGCCAGGGUCAUCGGAGAAGAUGACCGGCCUUUGGCUCUGCCGAUGAGCUGGAAGUGUUAAGAGCCAUUGAUUUGAUUCAAAACGUUUUAAUCUAGAUCGCUCAUUGUGAUUACCAAACGUGUGGAAUGUUGACUAGUGCGUGUAGCGGGGUAUUCGUUACCAUUAGAGAUAUUGACUAAAUCCAAGGUAAACCAUACAAGUCGAGUCGCCACCGCACUUCUAUUUAUCCAAAGGAAUGGUUAGAAAGCGAACAAAAACCUAAUAGUUUUAACAAAAACUAGUAAAAGAAACAGAGAUCUGGGUAAGGGGGUUGGUUAUGUAAUGGGAAGGUGUUAGGCACCCAAAACAUCCUAGGUACUCCUAGGGAGCCCUUUUCACACUUGUGAAGGUUGUUGUCUUGUAAAAAAUUUGUUUGUGAAAGCAUGAUUGAAGAGAUGGGAAGAGAAUGUACAAGUUAUUUACGUUUUGUGUUUGGAUGGAUAAACCCAUUGCAUACGUACCAUCUUAUAAAAAGAUUAGGAUCAAAACCUCGUAGUUCGGGGUAAAAAUUACAAAAUGAGUUGGUGAAUUGAUUGGUCCAAAAGCCUUAAGGUCUUUUGUUAUCAAAGGGAGAAAACUCGACCAAACCACAAAUCCACCAUGCGAGGAUAGCUUCAACAUGCUAGUGAGGGGUUAACCCUAUAAUAAGCAUGGAAGACUCAUUGUCCAUCACUAAGGAUAUAGGUGGGUAUUAUAUCUACCACAAGGAUAACUCAAACCUAAUAGCUAAAGGUUAUGGGAAAUUUGAUUAAGAAAGUGGCCAUUGGAACCACAAAAAAGAAAUUUGAAUGGGUUAUGUUUACCAAUUAGAAGUAUAUACAAAAUGGUCAAAGUUGACUUAAAGAUUCAAUUCAAAAUAAGUGUUACGAAAAGAAAGUUUGAAAAUCAAAAGCAUAAGGCUUAGGUUUCUAAUGUUUGAAAACAAUAGUUAAAUGUUUGCACAAAAGGUUUUGGCUUGGGUUAGAGUGGAGAGAAGAAGAAGAAGGGCUAAGUCUUUUGAAAAUCAAAAGCAUAAGGCUUAGGUUUCUAAUGUUUGAAAACAAUAGUUAAAUGUUUGCACAAAAGGUUUUGGCUUGGGUUAGAGUGGAGAGAAGAAGAAGAAGGGCUAAGUCCUAAGUAAAAAAAGAGAAGGGAAGAAGAAUCAAAACCACAAUGGAGUCCCUCUCUUGAGAUCAUAUUGAUGAUCCAAGUAGCUCCCAUCCUUUGGAAUAAGCAACCACAAAGCAUAAGCAACCAAACAAAUCUCAUAAGAGAUCCUCAAUGUGUCUUGUAUCUUUCACUUUGGAUGAACAUGGUAAUGGUCCUCCAAUUAAGCUCUCAUGGAAUUCCCUAGCACAAAAGCACACAUAUCAAAAGUUCCAUGAAGUAAAACAAGAAUGGACAAGAGUGAGUUUAGAGAUUUGGUCCUUUAAUCCAUUUUCAUCAUUAAGAUCCUUUUACUGCAAUUUUGCAUAAGGAAGGUCCUAGAAUCUAAGUCCAAUUCUCCAUUUCUUUGCAUAGGGAAAGUCCUAGAAACUAAGUCCAUUUCUUUGCAUUUGGUUCACCACAAUCAAAACAAAACACAAGCAAAUACAUAUAUACACAAUUAUGUGCUCAAGUAGCAAAAGCAAAUGGCAUAACAUAAACAUAUGCUCAAGUGAGAAAAGGGAAAAUCAAAUGGAUAAUAUGUGCAAGAAUAGUAAAUUGCAUAAAAGUAAAUUGCAUAAAGUAAAUGUAAUUGUCAAUAGUUAGUGUUAGUAUAGUGUGCCAUAAGAGAAAAUUUAGCGCUAUGUUAAGCAAUUGUAAUUGGAGCUUUCUGUAGAAGUCACAACUAUCUGAGGCCAGUCAAUAAUAAUGUAGGCAACAAACACAAGUUAGGAGUCUUGAUUAGUGAACCAAGUCCCAACAACUUGCCAUGCCAAAAAGAAGAAGAGGAUUGAUCUUGUAUUGGUUUAAGCCUUUUGCAUGAUUUAGAAAACAUCCUAUCCUUAAUGCAAAGCCAUUCACUUGAUCAAUUGAUCAAGAUGAAUUAGAUUUGAAUCAAGGAAGAUUAAGUCUCCCUAAUCAAUGCUAACUUAUCAACCUUCAACUCAUUGAUCAAAAGAAAAUGAGAAGGAGAAGAAGAAGGAGAUGGAUGAAAUGGAAAUAAGAAAGGUAAAAAUACAAAUGCAUUAAAUGAAAUAAAAUGUACCAAUCAUCAUAUGUUGACCAAUAACAUUGAAAGUAAAGGUCAAGCAAUCAAAAACAAAAGUUAGAUGAAGAUUGGAAGUCAAGGAAUGAACAAAAUAUUUUUGGCAUUUUUUAAUAUUUAAAAUUAAACUUGAAUUAAAAAUAAUGGAAAGGUCAAACUUCAAAAUCACUUCAAAUCAACCUUGAAAGGUCCAAGUGAUUUAUCCCAAGUUCAACAAGGUCAAACAAAGUUUGACAAAAGAAUUCAGCAUUUUUAAAAGUCAGAAACUAUUUUUAAUCAAUUAAAAAUGAAUAAAAAUAACCUAAUUGAACUAAAAUCUCAAAUAAAUCUCAAAUCAAUUCAAAAAUUGAUGAGAAUAUUUUUCAUAGAUCCAUCAUCAUUCAAAUAGGUUAGGAAAAUAUUUUUGUAUUUUUUGAAUAUCAAAAACUAUUUAAAAUGAAUUAAAAAUACCCAGAAAAUAGAAAAUUCACAAAAAAUAUCAAAUGACAAAAUAAAAAUUAUUAAAAAUUAGAAAUAGAAACUAGAAAUUAUUUGGGAAAUAAUGCAAUUGGUCCCAUAUUUUUUGGAUAAAAAAUGAAAGAGAUUAAUUUUUGAAAAUAAUUGGAAUUAAAGAAAAUAAAAGGAAAAUAAAACAGAAAAUAGAAAUUAGAAAAAAGCGUGGACCGUCUGAUCUAAGCUCAUUAAUUGAGCUGGCAAAUCAAGAGGCCGUGAAGCGCGCGCCUACCAUGGAUCCAAGUCAAUGCGUGCACAUGAGAAAGAAUUAAAAGUCAUAACAAGCAAGGGACGAGAUUAAAUCUGGAGAUUAGAUCACACAGUCCAGAUUUAAACUGGAGAGGAUGAAGCCAUCGGAGCCACCGUCUUCUCCGGUGAGCUCCAGAAUUCCGGCCAAAUUGCAGAAAUUAAAACCUCAACCAAAUCGUGCGAUCUAUACAUCAAUAGAAAGUUGGGAUGAUGUACAUCAUCCCUGUACCAUCCCUUUUCCCUCUAGACCUCCAUGGUGUGAGAAAUCAGAGAUGGAAAAAUCUGGUGUUCAUCAUGAACUUAAUAAAUUGCAAAAAUUAAAAGCAUAAACACGAUGCCUCUAUUGAGAGGACUUCAGCCAACACAAAAUCUGAGCCAAUAGGUCAAUGGAUUAGGAGAAUCAAAGACAAUACCAGUUGGAGAUCAAGCUUGAGUUCUGGUGAUUUCAACACGAUGCCUUGCUUGCUUUAUCAAAACAGAAGUUCAAUGAAGUGUAUAAUGAAGGUCUAGAAGCAUUAAAAUGGACUUAAAUUUUGCAUCAUUUGGAGUUUUGAUCAAGACGUUAUGGGCACUUGAAGUUGGACUUUUUUGACUUUUAAUGCCUUUGACCUAAAAGGACCUAUAAUGGCUUGCAUUCUCACAUGUAUUUCCUUUAAGAUUUUGAAAUUUUGUCCAACAUAACAUUUGAAGUAGACAUCUUAAGCUUUCCAAUGCAUUUGAUCCCACCUCAAAAUCAUAAAACAUGAAUGAGUUAUGUCCUUGGGAAGUUGACCCAAAAUUAGGGUUUCAGUCAAAAUGAUCUAUAAUGUAUUGGAAUGGCAGAUGGUUUUCCAAGCUUCAAAUAAAUUUUUGAUGAACAUGAAAGUUGUUCAUAUUGUCUUAAGAACAUUUUUUCUUUUGGAACCAUCUCCAUUUGACCAACACAUAAAACGUUAGGUCUCAGUGCAUUUCAAAAUAGUCAGAUGAAUUGACUGAUCAACUUCUCAAGUCCACAACUCAUACCUUGAUGAAUUGAUGAUUGAGGAUACUCAAAUAAGUUCAAAUAUGCAUGAAAUGAUGAAUUAAAGAACUUCCAUUGAUUGUAUUUGAUCAUGGGAUGAGGUUGCUUCAUGAGCAAGACAUUAUGGUGCACAGAUGAAUUAGGGUUUCUCUGAAGAACAAGACCUCAAACCCUUUGGCUUGCUUGAUCAAAAAUGAUGAAUUGAGGCAUUAGGAAGGCAUAUUUGAUGGGUGAUAGCUUUGGGAACCAUUACCAUGCUUGCUUUCAUCUCCUCUUGACCAUGUCUUUGUACAUAGGAUCUCCUAGAAGCUUUGGACUUUGUGAUUGCUCAAACUACAAACACAAGAUGUUAGUGACAUAUUUUUGUGCUUUUUGGUUAGUAAACAAAAUAAGAAAAGCAAUGAUAUACAAUUCAAGCAUGCUUGGUGAUCUCAAACCACUCACAAGAGAUCCCACCCAAAGGCAAAGGGAACCAAGAUGCUAAUGAUCCUUGAGGCUAUGCAAAUGAAAUAUUAUGAUGCCAUGAGGGAUCUUAGGGACAAAAUCGGGGUCUUACAGUGCGUACCAUGGAACGCGCAUUAUCCACCACUUGAUCUGCCACCUCAAUUAAUGAGGGAGAUCAAGUGGUCCACGUUUUUUUGAUUAUCUGAUUUUUAUUUUUAUUCCUUUGCUUUUUCAUUAAUUCAUAUUAAUUAUAAUAUUGAUCCAAAAAUACGAGAGUUUCACUAAAAAAUUUUAAAUAAAAUCCUCUUUCAUUUUCUAAAUUAAAAUUAUUUUUUGGAUCAUUAUUAAUAUUUUUUAUGAUUUAAUUGAUUUUGUGAAUAUUUUUAAUUUUUUAAAAAUACUUUAAAGUAUCCAAAAAUUCUGAAAUUUUUUCUCCAAGGUCCUUUGACCUAUGAUAAAUCUCAUGGCCAUUUCUUUGGUGUUUUGAUCAGGUUUUAGGAAAUUGACCAAUCAUAUUUAAUUUAAUGCAUUGUUUUUAAUAUUUUUAAUUGAUUAAAUAUCAAAUUAAUUGUGUAGAGCCAUUUCAAUUGACUUUGUGAGUUUAACUUGUGUUGUUGGGCCUUGGUCAAUGUUGAUUUGACUUUGUUAGGUUAAGAUCAUUGGAUUUAGGGGAUUGAUGGAAUGUACAUUUCAUCUCCCAAAAUGAAUGAAUGAUCUUAACUUGGUAAAAGUCCUCAUUUGUCCAAUUUGUGUUUGAUCCAUUCCCCCUCCCUCUUCAUCUAAUUCCCCUUCUUUAUGCAUUCAUGUUAUGGACCUAUGAUAUCUCAAUAUCCUAAGGCUAGUUGAUUGCAAAACCAACAUAAGUAUGGAUGAAAUUAGC
rnacentral:lncRNA from 1 species